AGUACAAUCGAAACCUUUUUUUAAGGAAAUGCUGCAACAGGAUAUAAUAUAUUAUUUUAUUUUAUUUUGCAAUUGACACGAGACCUGGUACCAAAUUCUACACUGAAUUUUACUAAGAACAAUACUUAUUAGAGAUUUCAAAUAAAAUAAAUAUAAAUAAUAGAAAUUCUAUAAUCUAUAAAUAUACUAUAAAUAUAAAAAUCGAAAAUAAUAGAAAUAAAAUAAGAAAUGAAUAUAUAAAUAUAUAGAAUAUAGA
rnacentral:lncRNA from 1 species